UCCAGUCUGCUCCCAUGAUGUGAGGCUGC
rnacentral:sRNA from 1 species